rnacentral:rRNA from 1 species
AUUGAACGCUGGCGGCAGGCCUAACACAUGCGAGUCGAGCGGAUGAAGGGAGCUUGCUCCUGGAUUCAGCGGCGGACGGGUGAGUAAUGCCUAGGAAUCUACCUGGUAGUGGGGGAUAACGUCCGGAAACGGGCGCUAAUACCGCAUACGUCCUGAGGGAGAAAGUGGGGGAUCUUCGGACCUCACGCUAUCAGAUGAGCCUAGGUCGGAUUAGCUAGUUGGUGGGGUAAAGGCCUACCAAGGCGACGAUCCGUAACUGGUCUGAGAGGAUGAUCAGUCACACUGGAACUGAGACACGGUCCAGACUCCUACGGGAGGCAGCAGUGGGGAAUAUUGGACAAUGGGCGAAAGCCUGAUCCAGCCAUGCCGCGUGUGUGAAGAAGGUCUUCGGAUUGUAAAGCACUUUAAGUUGGGAGGAAGGGCAGUAAGUUAAUACCUUGCUGUUUUGACGUUACCAACAGAAUAAGCACCGGCUAACUUCGUG